UUUUUUUCCGUGUUCAAUUUUGACCAUUCGUUUUAUUUGAAAAAAUUUACGAUUAAUAUUUUUGUUCUUACUAGAUGAUAAAACAUAAAUAGUAUUUUAUGCGUGACUAAAUUUUUUUAAUUUUUAUAUAAAUUUUUCAAAUAAGACGAAUGGUCAAACGUUGGACACGGAAAAACGAAAAAUGAUCUUACG
rfam:Oryza brachyantha chromosome 5, whole genome shotgun sequence.